UGCGAAAGCAUUUUGCCAAGAAUGUUUUCAUUAAUCAAGAACGAAAGUUUGAGGUUCGAAGACGAUUAGAUACCGUCCUAGUUCAAACCAUAAACGUUGCCAACUGUCUUUUAGAUGCGGUUAUUUAUAUGACUCAUCUGGCGGAUCUCGAGAAAUCUAAGUUUUUAGGUUCCGGGGGAAGUAUGGUUGCAAAGCUGAAACUUAAAAGAAUUGACGGAAGGACACACAAGAAGUGGAGCCUGUGGCCUAAUUUGACUCAACACGGGAAACCUUACUCGGCCAGGACACUUUUAGGAUUGACAGAUUGAGAGCUCUUUCUUGAUUAGGUGGGUGGUGGUGCAUGGUCGUUCGUAGUUCGUGGAGCGAUUUGUCUGAUUAAUUUCGAUAACGAACGAGACUCCGGCUUACUAAAUAGUCUAAAGUUCGAAGGGACUUUUCAAGACUUCUUAGCAGGAUAAGUGGCACUUUUUAAGCCACACGAAAUGGAGCAAUAACAGGUCUGUGAUGCCCUUAGAUGUCCGAGGCUGCACGCGCGCUACACUGGAGAGUUCAGAAUGUUUCUUCCUACUUCGACAGAAGUGGGUAACCAUGAAAUUCUCUUCGUGACUGGGAUCGGAGCUUGCAAUUAUUCUCCGUCAACGAGGAAUUCCUAGUAAGCACUAUUUCAUCAGAAUGUGCUGAUUAUGUCCCUGUCCUUUGUACACACCGCCCGUCGCUACUACCGAUUGAAUGUUUUAGUGAGAUCUUCGGCUUGGUUUUCCGAGCGGCUCUCGGGUCGUUCGGUUUUUAUCGAAAAGAUGCUCAAACUGGAUCAUUUAGAGGAAGUAAAAGUCGUAACAAGGUAUUC
rnacentral:rRNA from 1 species